UAAUAAUUUAGCAGAUGAAUGCAAUUGAUUUAGAAUCAAUAGGAAACAAAUAGUUAAUUAUUAA
rnacentral:tRNA from 1 species